rnacentral:lncRNA from 1 species
CCAGGAGUUGUUGAAGCUGAGAGAAGAGCUGGAAAAAGAAAAACAGGAAAAAUUGAUGAAAAUGGAAAGACAGAGAGAGAUUGAGAGGGAAGAAAAAAGAACAACUGUGAGAGAGAAAGAACACGAGAAAAAACUCAAACCAAGAGGAAGAAAUGCAGCAAGAAAAACAGAUGAAGAUGAAAGAUUGACAGAGGUGACUAAACAGGACACAAAAGAGGUAAAGAACCUCUGGAAUGAGGGAAUGAACUGUGCGGAAGAAAUUAAGCUAAAAGUGGUGAAAGGGAAGAGAGAAGGUUUACAAGAGGGACAGCAAAUUAUGGAUGAAGAACUAUUCAUCAAGAAGGAAAGAAUGAGUGCAAGGAAAAACAAGAUGGAAGGGGAGGGAGAAAGAGAAAUGGAAGGGCAGCAGAUGGAGAGAUGUGGACAACUGGAUGAAGAAAUCAAUAGAAAUUUUGAAAAAGAGAGAGAGAUGGAGCAAAAGAAAAGUGAAGAAAGGUGCAGUGAGCUUAGAAAAAGUCGUCAGAAGAAGCGCAAGGAAAAGGCCCAAGAACUGGAAAAGCAGAGAAAGCAAGAGGAAGAAGAUGCAGUACAGGAAGACAAGAAAAAGUGUAAGAAAAAGACACUGUGCGUCAAAGGAGACACAGAGACACAAAAACUGAAUGAGGCCAAGACAAAUACUGCUACACAAGAAAAUGGCUGGAAAGACAAAUCGGAUGAAGACAAGGAUGGAAAGUGGACAAAGGAGCCAAUGGGGGGACAGACUCACCUGAGAAAUAUGGAUAUACAGGAAGAGAAUGAAAGGCAGAAAGAGCAAGAGAAGAAGUCGGCAGAUAUAUUAAAGGAGAACGAACAGAGAGAAAAAGCCUACCAGGAAGAGCAAAGACAACAACAGCAACAGAGAGAGGCACAAGAGAAAGAAAGGCAAAAAGAGCUUGAAAGACAAAGGGAGACUGAGAAAGAGAAGGAGAUUGACAAGCAGAGAGAGAUACAAAAACAGACUCAUGUGGAAAAACAGGACCAGGAGCAACCAAAGAUGGAAGCAAAGGCUCAAAUCCAGACCAAUGAUAAACCUAUGGAGGUUACUGGGCAGAGAUCGGAAUGCCAAAACAUAACAAACAAACAAGCAAUCAAUUAUCCUGCAAAGGUUAAAGGUCGCAGAAUGCUGUGCCAGCCUAUGGUUCAGGCUACUGGAAAUCAAAAGCCAAAACCCCGCCGUGUGAAGUCACACAUACAGACCAAGACCAAACAAACACCUGACCCAGCGGAGACUCUGCCUGUUACUGAGUUAACAUCCACUGCCACUGAUUACCCACAAACCACCUGUCAGGCAGUAGAGCAGAGUGACUCUGAUGAGCAACCGAGAAGAGACAACACGGCCAUCAUGCCAUCUGAGAAGGAGGAUGAACCCCAGGUGAACACAGCAGGGCAAGUAGCCCAGAGCAGCAGGAAUCCCUCUCAGGCCCAGAGUCUCGCAUCAGAUGGGAGCGAUGGGGAGGAGAUGAAUGGAGGAGAAGAACAGGCUGA